UAGCAAACAGAGGAAAAGUGCCAUGGAACAAAGGCAGAAAACAUAGUCCAGAGACUCGUGAGAAGAUCAGACAGAGAACCAAAGAAGCUUUGCGUGAUCCCAAGGUGAAGUCAUGUAAGACAAAAGAUGUCUGAAUGUCCACGCUCUCUUAGCAAUCAGACCAAGUUACGAAUACGCGCAUCUCUCAGAAAACUCUGGGGUGAACGAUUAAAAUGGAAAAG
rnacentral:misc_RNA from 1 species